CCUACGGGAGGCAGCAGUGAGGAAUAUUGGUCAAUGGACGAGAGUCUGAACCAGCCAAGUAGCGUGAAGGAUGACUGCCCUAUGGGUUGUAAACUUCUUUUAUAUGGGAAUAAAAUGUUCCACGUGUGGGAUUUUGUAUGUACCAUAUGAAUAAGGAUCGGCUAACUCCGUGCCAGCAGCCGCGGUAAUACGGAGGAUCCGAGCGUUAUCCGGAUUUAUUGGGUUUAAAGGGAGCGUAGGUGGAUUGUUAAGUCAGUUGUGAAAGUUUGCGGCUCAACCGUAAAAUUGCAGUUGAAACUGGCAGUCUUGAGUACAGUAGAGGUAGGCGGAAUUCGUGGUGUAGCGGUGAAAUGCUUAGAUAUCACGAAGAACUCCGAUUGCGAAGGCAGUUCACUGGACUGCAACUGACACUGAUGCUCGAAAGUGUGGGUAUCAAACAGGAUUAGAUACCCGUGUAGUC
rnacentral:rRNA from 1 species